UACGGAGGGGGCAAGCGUUGUUCGGAAUUACUGGGCGUAAAGGGCUCGUAGGCGGCCAACUAAGUCCGACGUGAAAUCCCCAGGCUUAACCUGGGAACUGCGUCGGAUACUGGUUGGCUUGAAUCCGGGAGAGGGAUGCGGAAUUCCAGGUGUAGCGGUGAAAUUCGUAGAUAUUCGGAAGAACACCAGUGGCGAAGGCGGCUCACUGGACCGGUAUUGACGCUGAGGUGCGAAAGCGUGGGGAGCAAACAGG
rnacentral:rRNA from 1 species